AUCCAAAUCGGACAUAAAACAACAAAGUUAUAGAUAUUUUAUUGUUUCCCCAUUAUACCCUAUCACCGGAUCUCCGAGGUGGCUCUGAACCACUUCGGGAAAAAGAAUGAGGCAGCGCUUCCACACGGAUGUGCUGCUUUGGACCCCGAAGAGUCCGAAGCUUCUCCGGAUCCGAAGCUCUGUCUGAAGCCUGGCACAGCACUACUAUUCCAUAUGGCUCUUGCUUAGUUCACCAAUUUUCCCUUUGUUUCUGGAAGGAACAAGUAGAUAUAAAUCCCUGAGAUGAAAAGAGCUCCCAUAAAGAUAAGGAAACAGAAUGGGCCAAGGUUCUC